UUAUCUUAAAGCAGUAAGGUCCCUAACCCCCAAGAAGCUAAGAGGAUGAGGGAUGUGGAGAGAUACUUGUUGAAGACCAAUGAGCUGCCUUGGACAGUAUGAUGCCUGCCUGGGAGACAUGACCAAGCUGGCAAUGUCUGAAAAGUUUUCAUGUUGGCGGGUGGAGGAAGAUGGUGUGUACCUCACAGAACUGCUAGAAGAGAGCAUGGAAAGCACUGAAGAGUGCCUGGCACUUGGUCGACAGUCAAAGCUAGUUGGCUUUCUUCCUUGCCUCGCCCCGCAUAUUCCACUGUGUUCCUGGCUAUGGAAGGAGGCUGGCAAGCAUCAGGGACUAUUAGGAAGAUGAAAGAGGGAAGCUUCAGGAGGAAAUGGUCUCAGGGACUUCAAGAGGAGGUACCACCUGCAUCAGGCCCACCUGCCCUAUUUGAUACACAAAGACCAGUGGAGAAGGCUGGGAUAACGGCUCAAAAGUUGUUAAAUAUUUUGCCCAUGAAAUGCGCACGGAGAACAGAAAUUUGAACAUCUUCCAAUAUAAGUGGCACUCGAAAUAAUGGUGUCCGCAUGUUGCUGGUGUGGAGGGAAGGCAAGCCUGCUGGAGAAGCGGGAAGGGUCUCUCUCAUUUGCCCUGGUCUCUCCUCUUCUUCUUAU
rnacentral:lncRNA from 1 species